UCACUUGAACUUGACUCAUCAAUUUAUAUACCAUUAGAGAAAAUUAUCAGUCCUGGAUUGCUUUUAUCAGGUUUCAUAACCACUUCAGCAAAAUGGUUUGUUCUAAUAUUAUGACUCAAGAUUGUAUCCUGCAGAACAAAAUCACAUAUGCAUUAUCAUUUGGUAGUCACCUAUUUUUUUUUUUUAAGUGAUACUUAACCCAUUGGGCUGUUUGGUACUUG
rnacentral:misc_RNA from 1 species